rnacentral:rRNA from 1 species
ACAACGCUGGCGGCGUGCUUAACACAUGCAAGUCGAACGGAGAAUUUAUUUCGGUAAAUUCUUAGUGGCGAACGGGUGAGUAACGCGUGGGCAACCUGCCCUUCAGAUGGGGACAACAUCCCGAAAGGGGUGCUAAUACCGAAUACGAUCACGCUGCCGCAUGGCGGUGUGAUGAAAAGAUGGCCUCUAUUUAUAAGCUAUCGCUGAAGGAUGGGCCUGCGUCUGAUUAGCUAGUUGGUGGGGUAACGGCCUACCAAGGCGAUGAUCAGUAGCCGGUCUGAGAGGAUGAACGGCCACAUUGGGACUGAGACACGGCCCAAACUCCUACGGGAGGCAGCAGGUGGGGAAUAUUCCGCAAUGGACGAAAGUCUGACGGAGCAACGCCGCGUGAGUGAUGAAGGUUUUCGGACUGUAAAGCUCUGUUGUUUAGGACGAAAGUGCCUGUUGCAAAUAGUUGCAGGUAUUGACGGUACUGAACGAGGAAGCCACGGCUAACUACGUG